rnacentral:misc_RNA from 1 species
GUCCUCACUCAGCUGAAACAAAGACCUAAGCUCCUCCAUUACCUUUAAAUAAAUUUUUGCUGUUGCUUUUGUCUCUAAUUUCAGUUUGGGCCUCUAAAAUUUUCUUUUUCCCUAUCUUUAUUUAUGCUUUAGGUGUUUAUGUUUUUUUCCCUUCUUUAAGCUAUCUAAAUCACAGCUAUCGUAUUGUGACUAGGUAAUUUUCUCUAGAAUGUUGAAUGAAUGACUGUUUCUUGAGCUUAUUUAUCUAGCAAUGUGCAAGUUGAAAUCAAAGAUUAAAGUUAGCAGAUUUUUGUUUACUGGAUAUUAGCUUUAGAAGUUUGUUUUGCUGCUCUUUUACUGGUUUUCUUUUUUAUAUUUGUUGCCCUUUGAGAUUAACUCUAGAGUUAUAGGUGUUGCUUUGAGACUUCCUUCGAGGUUUAUAUCUGAUAGUGUUAUGCUAUGGUGCAAUAUUUAACUUAUUAAAUUUGAAUGUGGGGACAGUAGAGCUAAGAUGUCUUUAAAUUUCCAAAAUAAUCUUGUUGGGUUUUCGGGCCAAUUUAAGUCACCUAAUUUUCUAAUAAAAUAGAUCUGUUGAGAUUUGAAUAUGAGUAGAAGAUAGCUACUCUGUAAACUUCAUAUGUGACAGUAGGUUGUUCUUUGUUUCAUAGUUUUUUGCUCUAAACUUGAUUUUCUGACAUUGGAUCUUUUUUCAUUUUUACAUCAAUACCAUUCUGUGGGGUGGUCUUCUAUACUGUAGUUAGGCAUCAUGUUUCCUAAGAAAUAUCACUUAGUUGUUCUUAUCAAAGAUGUGAUCAUUUAUUCUUUUGAAAGGUGAGACUGAAAAUUACUUAUGAAUAAGUCUUGUCAAAAGCGUAUGUGCUUUCAUUUGGUGUUUGCAUUUGUUAUCAUGGAUUCAGUGGACCAAUUAAAUGAAUGCUUAUUUAUUGUUCAGUUCAUGACAGUUUUGGUAGAGAAAAAAUCAAAGAUUAGAGAAAGUUUCAAAUUCUAUAGAUGCAAAAAACUAAUUUUGUAGAACUAGAAUUCUCCUCUUAGAGCUAACCUUCCAUAUCACAAUAAAAAGUGUUGAAAUUUGAAAAUAUUUAUAUUG